rnacentral:lncRNA from 1 species
AUGGCGUUCGUUGCCUGCACCGCCGACCUGAGGUGUCUCGUCGAGCACGCCAACAGGAAGAACGGCGGCAAGCCGGUCAUCCUGUGCAGGAGGUUCGUCAAGCACCUCGUCAUGGUCUCCACCGGCGCCGGCGGCAUCGUCAUGGCGAUGCAGAGCCUCGCCGCCUCCGCCUACGCGGCGUCGGGGUCGCUGGCGAGGACGGAGCGGAGCUACGGGACGGUGUUCGUGGCGCUGCCGUCCCCGAACGUGUUCGGCGGCGCGCCGCUGGUGGUGACGCGGCACAGGAACUACUCGGCCCAUGACAUCUCGGAGUUCCUCGCGGUGGUCAGGUUCUCCGGCGAGGAGGUCAAGCUGUACCGCACGAGGGCGCUGCCGGUGAACUCGGGGUUGAGGACGCCGCGCGUGCCGAUGACCGCCGUCUACGGCGCCGGCGUGCCGACGCCGGAGCAGCUGGUGUACUGGGACGGUGACUUCAGCAAGGCGCCGGAGGUGGUGUACGGCGACGGCGACGGAGAAGUCAAUCUGGUGAGCGUGUUGGCGUGGAACACAGUGGUCGGACAUGAUCUGGAGCAAGGUUUCUUCAAGGCCAUCAAGAUCAUGAAUGCAACAUGUUUACACCCAAAUUUGGUACCUAUGGACGAAAUAAGGGAAAAUUGCCAAAGUUUGGAAAGUAUCGAGCUUCCUUCACAAGGCCGGUCAGACCGCAGGUAUAUCGGCGGUCUCACCGGCUAGUAGGGCCGGU